GGAAAAUGUUGAAAAUAUUACCAAAUUUUCUGAGUCAAGCUUGAUAUUGACACAGACAAAUGAAUAUGAAAAUAGCCAUCUGGGAACAGCAGAAUCAUAUCUGAAUCAAAUUGCUAAUCCAGUAUUUGAAUUGGAUGCUUUAGAUCAAGAUACCACAAACAAAGAGAAUGAAAACCCAAUUAUCAUUAAAAAUAUUCCAACUCCUAUAUUUAAAAGGAAAAAAUUAAAAGUUAUAGAAUCUGAAAGAAC